GGUGAGAGGCCGCGGCAGAGCUUCCCCUUCCCGGCUGUGAGUAGUGAGGUGGCAGGGUGAAGCUGAUCGCGGCAGCAGAGCCCGUGAUGGUGCGUAGCUCCGUGGAACUGGGACCCGCAGACUGUCUCUUUAACCGGGGCUCGUUCGUGUGACAGCGCCGCGGAAUGGGAAGGGCCGGACCUGUGUUUUCUUCGCUCACUCGCACCGCGUGAAUGUGUCGCGUAAUGCGCCGGAGAGGAGCUUCCUGCCGGGGAGACGCUGUGCUUCUGGACGGUUUUGUUGGAGUAGCUGGUUGCUAGCGCGGAGCUAGCGGCGGUGCUCGCUACUUACUUCUUUAAAGGAUGCUACGGUGGAUCCGGCAGCAGCUGGGCUUUGACCCCCCUCAUCAGAGCGAGACCAGAACGGUUUAUGUGGCAAACCGCUUCCCCCAACAUGGCCACUACAUACCACAGCGCUUUGCCGACAACAGGAUCAUCUCAUCCAAGUACACCAUUUGGAAUUUUGUCCCCAAGAAUCUGUUUGAGCAGUUCAGGAGAAUAGCCAACUUCUAUUUCAUCAUCAUCUUCCUCGUACAGUUAAUGAUAGAUACUCCAACUUCCCCAGUCACCAGUGGGCUGCCUCUUUUCUUUGUGAUCACAGUAACUGCCAUAAAACAGGGCUACGAGGACUGGCUGAGACACAAGGCCGACAAUGAGGUGAAUGGGGCUCCAGUGUUUGUGGUUCGCAGUGGAAGUCUGGUCCAAACGAGAUCUAAAAACAUCAGGGUCGGGGACAUUGUUCGUGUGGCUAAAGAUGAAACGUUUCCUGCUGACCUGGCGUUGCUGUCGUCAGAUCGUGCAGACGGCACCUGUCACAUCACCUCAGCCAGCCUUGAUGGAGAGACCAACCUUAAGACCCACUACUCUGUGGCGGAGACAUCCGUGUGUCAGUCAGUGUCCCGGCUGGAGUCUCUGCAGGCUGUGGUGGAGUGUCAACAGCCAGAAGCUGACCUGUACAGGUUUGUUGGUCGGAUCACGGUGACAGAGCACGGGGAGGAGAUUGUCAGACCUCUAGGUCCGGAGAAUUUGCUGCUGCGAGGGGCCAGGUUGAAAAAUACCAAAGAGAUUUUUGGUGUGGCAGUUUACACAGGGAUGGAGUCCAAGAUGGCCCUCAACUAUAAGUGCAAGUCCCAGAAGCGCUCUGCAGUGGAGAAGUCCAUGAAUACCUUCCUAAUCAUCUACCUGGGCAUCCUGCUGUUCGAGGCGGUCCUCAGCACCAUCCUGAAGUAUGCCUGGCAGGCCGAGGACAAGUGGGACGAGCCCUUCUACAACCAAAAGACUGAACAAGAGAAAAACAGCAGUCCGAUCUUAAAGUUCAUCUCGGACUUCUUGGCAUUUUUGGUCCUCUACAACUUCAUCAUCCCCAUCUCACUCUACGUUACCGUGGAGAUGCAGAAGUUCCUGGGCUCCUUUUUCAUUGGCUGGGAUUUGGACCUUUACCACGAGGAAACUGACCAGAAAGCUCAGGUCAACACCUCCGACCUCAAUGAGGAGCUGGGGCAGGUGGAAUAUGUUUUUACCGAUAAGACGGGUACACUAACAGAAAACGAGAUGCAUUUCCGUGAGUGUUCCAUUAAUGGAACAAAGUACCGGGAGGUUAACGGCAAACUGGUUCCAGAGGGAAUGACUGACGAUUCACCGGAUGGUUCUAUGCCUCACCUGAUCGGUGAGGAAUUGUUAUUUCUCCAGGCGGUGGCAUUGUGUCACACGGUUCACAUCAGCUACGACCAACCCGACUGCCUGGUUGGAGGAGACCCGUUCUCCCACACAAACGGUUUCUCUUCGAAUCACAUGGAGUACUAUGCCUCUUCCCCAGACGAGAAAGCUUUAGUAGAGGCAGCGAAGAGAAUCGGAGUGGCCUUCAGUGGCAGCAGCGGAGACACCCUGGAAAUCAAAACAUUUGGCAAGUUAGAGAAGUACAAACUGCUCCACGUGUUAGAGUUUGAUGCUGAUCGCAGGAGGAUGAGCGUCAUACUCCAGACUCCCUCAGGAGGUCAAGUGCUGUUUACCAAGGGAGCAGAGUCCGCCAUCUUGCCUUUCAGCACCAGUGGUGAGAUAGAGAAGACGAGACUGCACGUUGAUGAGUUUGCACUGAAAGGUUUGCGGACCCUGGUGGUCGCAUGUCGUCACUUCAGCCCAGAGGAGUACAUCGAUUUGGACAGGCGACUGAAUGGCGCCCGCACUGCUCUGCAGCAGAGGGAGGAGAGACUUCAGGAGGCCUUCAGCUACAUCGAGAAAGACCUGCAGGUCCUGGGAGCAACAGGGGUGGAGGACAAACUCCAAGACAAAGUGCAGGAGACCAUUGAGGCUUUGCGGCUGGCGGGGAUCAAAGUAUGGGUGCUGACAGGGGACAAACAUGAAACAGCGGUCAGUGUCAGCCUGUCCUGUGGUCACUUCCACCGAACCAUGAACAUCCUGGAGCUUCUGCAGCAGCGCUCAGACAACGAGUGUGCCGAGCAGCUCCGCAUACUGGCCAGGAGGAUAAAGGAGGACCAUGUCAUACAGCACGGGCUGGUCGUGGAUGGAGCCAGUCUCUCUUUAGCAUUGAGGGAGCAUGAGAAGCUCUUUAUGGAAGUGUGUAAAAACUGUUCAGCGGUGUUGUGCUGCCGCAUGGCCCCACUACAGAAAGCAAAGGUGGUACGUCUUUUCAAAACAUCUCCGGAGAAACCCAUCACCUUAGCUAUUGGAGAUGGAGCUAAUGAUGUCAGUAUGAUACAGGAAGCCCACGUGGGCAUAGGUAUCAUGGGGAAGGAGGGUCGUCAGGCCGUGAGAAACAGUGACUAUGCAAUUGCCAGGUUUAGGUUCCUGGCUAAACUACUGCUGGUCCACGGUCACUUCUACUACAUUCGAAUAGCUACGCUUGUACAGUACUUUUUCUACAAGAAUGUGUGUUUUAUUACGCCGCAGUUUUUAUACCAGUUCUUCUGUUUGUUUUCACAACAAACUCUGUACGACAGUGUGUAUCUGACACUGUACAACAUCUGCUUCACCUCGCUGCCCAUACUGGUGUUCAGCCUGUUUGAACAGCUGGUCCAUCCACACGUCCUGCAGAACAAACCUGGCCUGUACAGGGACAUAAGCAAAAACGCUCUGCUGUCUUUUCGGACCUUCCUGUACUGGACUUUGUUGGGCUUCUGUCACGCCUUCAUCUUCUUCUUUGGAUCGUACAUACUGAUGGGAGAAGACACCACGCUUAUGGGCAACGGACAGAUCUUGCGAGCUAACAGGCAGUUGAUGUUUGGAAACUGGACAUUUGGAACGCUGGUCUUUACGGUUAUGGUCAUCACUGUCACAUUAAAGCUUGCUAUAGAGACUCAUUUCUGGACGUGGAUGAACCAUUUUGUGACCUGGGGUUCGAUUGCCUUCUACUUCAUCUUCUCUCUCUUCUACGGAGGAAUCAUCUGGCCGUUCCUCCACACCCAGGACAUGUACUUUGUAUUCGUGCAGCUGCUCUCCAGCGGUUCCGCCUGGUUCGCCAUCAUCAUCAUUGUCAUAACUUGCCUCUUCCCUGAUGUGGUGAAGAGGGUUUUUUACAGACAUCUGCAGCCCACCAGCACGCAGAAGAGUCAGAUGUAUUCCAACCGCGUGGCAAUAGGAGACGACUUCAUCGCUCUGCAGCCUCUUUCCAGAACCAAGAGCCAGCUGGGCAAAAUUAGUCUCUAUCAGCCCCCGCGCAGACCCUCAGCUGUGUGGAGUCCCUGUGCUGCUACCAACAUGGGCAUAGCGGCUGUUCCCGCCUGGCCCGCUUCCUGGAGCAAAUGACAGGGCAGUGCCCGGCCGGUGAGAACCAUUGCCCGACAUCCAGCAGCAACAACAGGUCUUGGAGCGACACGGAGAACUUCUACUCUAACGAUCGCAGCAUCCUGACGCUGUCGCCCAUCGAGGCCUCUCACUGCUGACCCCCAGAGGCCGCUGACUGUAGCGCACAGAGCCGGGGGAGAGGCACCGCUCCGCUCUGAGUCCUUAUCGCUCCCCUGCCGCCAUUUUAACCAACACACUUCAACUUAAAACUCAAUUCAGCAAGUUGCAAAGCGAACUUGACACGAGAGCUGCUGCAUCGUCUGAAGCCAAAGGACGUUUCCUGAUUUAUCCUCCAGCGGUUAUAAAGCAGAUGAAGUGUUCAUCUGUGGACAAGACGCAUCUGAACAACGACUAUCAGACUCUCUGCUGCUGACAGAGAAUCUCUGAGUCCUGGAGAGUAAUCUGAAGUCUCAUUUAAAUGAAAAACGGUUUAGAGAGAGAUGUGUUGAGUCUUAUAUUGAACCAAUCAGCUCUCAUGAAGAUAUUUUUUCAUUUUCAACGCAGUUUCCAAACUUGUUUUUCUUGAAACUGGCAUUAAAAUGACCCAGUGAGACACGGGAUGGAGAUUCCUGCCAGUCGGACCUGGACUGAACCAUUUAACCCAGUUGGUUUGACCGACACGAGCCAGGAUCCCACACGUAGCACCGGGAGUCAGACGACGUGAGGAACCUUCUCAUGGUGUCGGCAGCUGAAGUCAUAGUAUAAAUAACUUUUUGAGCUUUUGGCGAAACCGCUGCACCUUCUCUCCCUGUUCAGACUGAAAGGGAAAGAGCUGGACCCCCUGCAGCCCUGUAGCAUCCAGAGCUUUGUGCUGAUGCGGCGGCUCUGCUCCCUUUCAGAGCGACGGUAUUCUCUCGAUACUGAAGGUGGAGCCUCACCUCCACCGUGCAACCAAAGACCGAAGGAUUCUGGAGUUUAUCAGAGAAAAAAGUGUGUAUUUCUGUGCCUGAUUGUACAGAAGCUUUCUGUUGUUGUAACGAAGACGAUUAUUACUGUUCGUGCUGCUUCUCUCGUCUUGACUGUUCAGGCCUCCGUCUCCGCGGCGGCGCCUGUUUAAAAAGCCAUACGUUUUCAAGAAGGUUGUGUUCUUGGUAGAUUAUUGAAGGAGCUGCAGACAGGAGCUGUUUGAUUCUGUGCUUUCUGUUGUUGUUGUUCCCCUGAAUGCCUUUUCUCAUUCAGCCCGGUUGGAGAAAGCAUCUCAGCAUUUAGACUCAUGACGUCAGGGACAUUUUUUUUGGGAGGUUUUAAAAGCAAAAAUUGACCCAAUCACAGACCAAACUCGAGGUGGAAUCAACCUGCCCCCGAGCACCCGAUGGGAUAAUGGUUCCAUUUGGUUUCCAGAGAGACGAAAGUGGCUUUAAUGGCGAGAUGCUUUUCCAAACCCCGGCUGGUGCACGUUGACCCAGACAGCAGAAUGUGUCCGUCUCCACGGAGAUGGAUUUAUCAGAUAAAUGACUCGGCAGGAGAUGAACAGGGAAGCAGAGCGUUUUUGCACAAGUCACAUAUCAACUCACUUCUUUUCUGCUCGAAUCAUCGCCUCACCCGUCACCAUUCAAAUCAUCCGAGUCAUGUUUCUGCUCUUACGUUCUCGUCAUGUUCCCCCACGCUCCUUGAUGAAGUGCGUGUCUGUGUGUAUGUGUUGGUGUGUUCCUCUGUAUAGCAGCCAUGUUGGUUGAAGGAAGUGUGGUACUCAGCUUUGUGAAAAGUGAAAUUAGGAAAAAUCCCAGAUCAGGUUGAACUUUGAGGAGAAUCCAGAAGGCGACAGAAGCGAGAUUCGAUAUCGAGACAAUUCGAAAACCUCACAAGACAACCGUUUUAAACUUGACAUCAAGAACCACACAACUUGCCUCAGCUCACACAGGGAACACACACAGUCGUAGCACGUUUCUGUUUCUCUGUGGUCGAUGUUUGAAGAAGUUUUCUUUGUCCGAUUCUGAAUCUGACUCGUUCACGUCCUUUUUUCAAUUCAUUGAAUCGUCUGGAUGUUUCUUUUCAGUCCGGUACACGUCGGUGUCCUGUCGGUUCACACGGACGCACGUCACAAUGAAAGUGUCUAUUUAUUAUUGCAGUACUUUAUUUUCCUGUGUUUGUGUUGAACUUUUCUUACAUAUCAAUAAAUCUGUAGCUCCUGUAAUACGCAGCGACUCUCCCCCCCGACGUUUAACUUGAGCCUGGAUCUGUGAUCAGGAAGCUGAACCCCCCCACGCUCCGAACCAGGAAGCUAAAGUUACAGUUCGUGAGUUACUCCACAGAUUCUGAUCAUCACACUGUUCCUGUUUCAAUGUUAACACAGGAAGUAUCUUCUGUAUUUUCUUUUGAACCAUUUGACCUCAUAUUUGAUAUUUAACGUGUUAAACACUCCUAUAGCUUCUUAUUUUUAUAAAAGGAUCAUUGUUAUCGUAGCAUCAGGAUUCAGACGGAGGUCAGUGGAUCCCCCCUGGGAGUGAAAACUUGAAAAGCAUCAUGUGUGACCUCCGUUAGUUUGAGUGUUUUGUCUCGAGGCUGCAGAAUCUGAUCUGUGCAAUAACACCUGCAGUGUCUGAGCAGCUCUGACGCCCCCUUGUGGUCAUCUGCGGAAGCCCAAAGUGUUCAAAACUAAAGCGAGAUGACAUCAUCACAUCAGUGAAAGUAUUGAUAACGAUUCAUGGGCAACGAUAAAUGUGAUAAACUGAGGUAACAUGUUCAAAAUGAAUCAAUAUGACAAACUGCAUGAGGUUUAAUACAUGAUUACAAUAUCAAUAAACAAUUACAAUGUUUACUUUUCCCUUCAGUGACAGUUAAAGAUGAAGUUUUGACAGAAACUUAUGUGAUUUAAAGAUGAAUUAUGAAUUAUUAGAAAAUAUGGAAAAACUGAGUAAAACUUGAAAUAGAAAAUUGAGACAAAAACAAAACCUCGUUUGUGGAGGUACAUUUUUAUAUCUGUAGAAUUACUUCUUGGUUGAAUAAUAAUAAUUUCGAACACUUUGGGUUUCAAGGUUGUUUUUUUUGUCCAAACUUUAUGUCCUGUCACAUUUCUCACAUCAAAUGUAAUUAGAGACAGAAUCGUACUUCUGUGAUUUGUUUUGGAAACUGAUGUUAAAUCUGUUCUUGAACUCGGACGUGAACCAAACUCUCUCUUUGGUUCGAUGCCUCCAGGUUAUUUCUCGAAGCAGGAGAUGACUCAGCCUCAUAAUGUGAAAAAAAGAAUGAACAUUUAAUAUUUUAUCACCAGGAGACGAUUGUGUCGUCCAUCAAAAGCCCCAUUAGAGUUUAAUUGGAUCUUAUUUCAGACACAGAGCCGUAAAAUCCUGGCUCCAGUCGAGGUUUUGAGUUUUCCUGGAUUCUUGGAAAUAAGUAAAAAGACCAAAAUCAGCUGUCGGUCGUCUUUGUUCUUUAGAAACGUACAAAUGAAAAUCGAGACUUUUCCUCCGGGUUUAACUGCAGAUGUAACAUCAUGUUCCAGUCACGUUGGGUUCACAGGGUUUUGUUAUUAUAAAAUGUUCUUGGGUCAAGUGAAAUCUCCCUGAAGCUGGUUCAGCCUGUGACGUCGGUCUCAGCGUCUCCUCACAGACCGGAAUCUAAUAAAGCUUUUCUCGAUGGAAUCAGCUGAAAAACAGGAAAAGUAAAUGAAAGUGUCCAGCGAUCCGGUUUCUGAACGUCCUGUGACUCAGCAUCAGGCAGCGAGACUGGAGGCCGCGGAUCAAUCCCCCUCAUCAGUAAAUCAGGCUUCAGCUGAUGAUUCAUUCUUCAUCACUCUUCUGUGGACUGAUGUCUGUGUCCGGCUCCUCCUCUUCCUCCUCUGUCCAUAAAUCUGUCUUAUAGUUGAUGUUUAUGAAGAUGCGACUCUAUUUACGAAAUAAACACAUUUUUAAGAAACGA